AGUGAACGCUGGCGGUAGGCCUAACACAUGCAAGUCGAACGGCAGCACAGUAAGAGCUUGCUCUUACGGGUGGCGAGUGGCGGACGGGUGAGGAAUACAUCGGAAUCUACUUUUUCGUGGGGGAUAACGUAGGGAAACUUACGCUAAUACCGCAUACGACCUACGGGUGAAAGCAGGGGAUCUUCGGGCCUUGCGCGAUUGAAUGAGCCGAUGUCGGAUUGGCUAGUUGGCGGGGUAAAGGCCCACCAAGGCGACGAUCCGUAGCUGGUCUGAGAGGAUGAUCAGCCACACUGGAACGGAGACACGGUCCAGACUCCUAAGGGAGGCAGCAGUGGGGAAUAUUGGACAAUGGGCGCAAGCCUGAUCCAGACAUACCGCGUGGGUGAAGAAGGCCUUCGGGUUGUAAAGCCCUUUUGUUGGGAAAGAAAAGCAGCAGGUUAAUACCCCGCUGUUCUGACGGUACCCAAAGAAUAAGCACCGGCUAACUUCGUG
rnacentral:rRNA from 1 species